AAAAUGUCUCCGCACCUAAAAUUAAUAAAAAUAAAAAUAAAAAUCAGUCCCUAUAUAAUACUAGCCAAACAAAGUAAGCAUAAAAAUUGAAUAUUACAAAAAUAUAAGAAAGAAAUUAAGAAAAUAUUAAGGCAGCGUUUGGUAACACUCUUAAGAUCAAUUUUUUGUUCUUUAUUCCAUUUGGGAACAGACAAAAAUGGAAUAAAGUGUUCUGCAAAACUGAUUUGUUUUUGCUGUGCCCAAGAAACAAACCAGAGCUAAAAUCAAGUUGAAGAACUCCAUUGUUUAUUUGUUCAAUCUCCUCUUGGCAAAGAACUCCACACUCUAUCGCUCUCUCUUCGUUUCAAGUAGAAGAACUCCAUCGUUCAAUCUCCUUUUGGAAAGAAAUCCAAACUCCAUCGUUCUCUCUCCGGGUAAAAAGAUCUCAAGGUACAGAAAGGGGAUUUUCGUUCACAGAGUGCCUCUUCCUUCAAAUCACUCUACAUCCUUUCAAUUGAAGGUACCCAUAGCUGUUUGCAAAAAUGAUUGAACCCCAAUUUCAGGUAUGUUCACUGUAUUACCUCAAAUUUCUCUAUUGAAUCUCCCAAAUUGAUGGGUAA